GAUGAACGCUAGCGGCAGGCCUAACACAUGCAAGUCGAGGGAGAGGUUACCUUCGGGUACCCAAAACCGGCGCACGGGUGCGUAACGCGUAUACAAUCUGCCUUUCACAUAGGGAUAGCCCGAAGAAAUUUGGAUUAAUACCUAAUGGUAUAUAAGAGCGGCAUCGUUUUUAUAUUAAAGCUACGGUGGUGAAAGAUGAGUAUGCGUUCUAUUAGCUAGUUGGAGAGGUAACGGCUCCCCAAGGCGACGAUAGAUAGGGGUUCUGAGAGGGAUGUCCCCCACACUGGUACUGAGAUACGGACCAGACUCCUACGGGAGGCAGCAGUGAGGAAUAUUGGACAAUGGUCGGAAGACUGAUCCAGCCAUGCCGCGUGCAGGAUGAAGGUCCUAUGGAUGGUAAACUGCUUUUGUAAGGGAAGAAUAAGGAGUACGUGUACUUUGAUGACGGUACCUUACGAAUAAGCAUCGGCUAACUCCGUG
rnacentral:rRNA from 1 species